rnacentral:rRNA from 1 species
GAUGAACGCUGGCGGCGUGCCUAAUACAUGCAAGUCGAGCGAAGCGGGGACGGGUGAGUAACACGUGGAUAACCUCCUCUAAGACUGGGAUAACUUCCGGAAACCAGUGCUAAACCGGAUUCUUAUCGCUGGUUCCGUAUUGCAUUAGCUAGUUGGUAGGGUAACGGCUUACCAAGGCGACGAUGCAUAGCCGACCUGAGAGGGUGAUCGGCCACACUGGAACUGAGACACGGCCCAGACUCCUACGGGAGGCAGCAGUAGGGAAUCUUGCGCAAUGGGCGAAAGCCUGACGGAGCAACGCCGCGUGAAUGAAGAAGGUCUUAGGGUCGUAAAACUCUGUUAGUAGGGAAGCGGUACCUAAACAGAAAGCCACGGCUAACUACGUGCCAGCCGCCGCGGUAAUAC